rnacentral:rRNA from 1 species
CGCCUGGUAGCGGGGGAUAACUAUUGAAACGAUAGCUAAUACCGCAUAACAGUAGAUAUCGCAUGAUAGCUGCUUGAAAGGUGCAAAUGCAUCACUACCAGAUGGACCUGCGUUGUAUUAGCUAGUUGGUGAGGUAACGGCUCACCAAGGCAACGAUACAUAGCCGACCUGAGAGGGUGAUCGGCCACACUGGGACUGAGACACGGCCCAG